rnacentral:rRNA from 1 species
UCUACCUACGGGGCGCAGCAGUAGGGAAUCUUCCACAGUGGGCGAAAGCCUGAUGGAGCAACGCCGCGUGGGUGAAGAAGUAUUUCGGUAUGUAAAGCUCUAUCAGCAGGGAAGAAAAUGACGGUACCUGAGUAAGAAGCCCCGGCUAACUACGUGCCAGCAGCCGCGGUAAUACGUAGGGGGCAAGCGUUAUCCGGAUUUACUGGGUGUAAAGGGAGCGUAGACGGCGAUACAAGUCUGAAGUGAAAGCCCGGGGCUCAACCCCGGGACUGCUUUGGAAACUGUGUUGCUGGAGUGCUGGAGAG